GACGAACGCUGGCGGCGUGCCUAACACAUGCAAGUCGAACGGGGUAAUCCUUCGGGGUUACUUAGUGGCGAACGGGUGAGUAACGCGUGAGAAACCUGCCUUUCAGUGGGGGACAACAGUUGGAAACGACUGCUAAUACCGCACAAUGUUAUUUGAGGGCAUCCUUGAAUAACCAAAGCUUUAUGUGCUGAAAGAUGGUCUCGCGUCUGAUUAGCUAGAUGGCGGGGUAACGGCCCACCAUGGCGACGAUCAGUAGCCGGUCUGAGAGGAUGAACGGCCACAUUGGGACUGAGAUACGGCCCAGACUCCUACGGGAGGCAGCAGUGGGGAAUAUUGGGCAAUGGGGGAAACCCUGACCCAGCAACGCCGCGUGAAGGAAGAAGGCCUUCGGGUUGUAAACUUCUUUUACCAGGGACGAAGAACGUGACGGUACCUGGAGAAAAAGCAACGGCUAACUACGUGCCAGCAGCCGCAGUAACAG
rnacentral:rRNA from 1 species